rnacentral:rRNA from 1 species
GACGAACGCUGGCGGCGUGCUUAACACAUGCAAGUCGAAUGAAGAGCGACGGAAGCUUGCUUCUAUCAAUCUUAGUGGCGAACGGGUGAGUAACGCGUAAUCAACCUGCCCUUCAGAGGGGGACAACAGUUGGAAACGACUGCUAAUACCGCAUACGAUCUAACCUCGGCAUCGAGGAUAGAUGAAAGGUGGCCUCUACAUGUAAGCUAUCACUGAAGGAGGGGAUUGCGUCUGAUUAGCUAGUUGGAGGGGUAACGGCCCACCAAGGCGAUGAUCAGUAGCCGGUCUGAGAGGAUGAACGGCCACAUUGGGACUGAGACACGGCCCAGACUCCUACGGGAGGCAGCAGUGGGGAAUCUUCCGCAAUGGACGAAAGUCUGACGGAGCAACGCCGCGUGAGUGAUGACGGCCUUCGGGUUGUAAAGCUCUGUUAAUCGGGACGAAAGGCCUUCUUGCGAAUAGUGAGAAGGAUUGACGGUACCGGAAUAGAAAGCCACGGCUAACUACGUG